rnacentral:rRNA from 1 species
CGAAACCGCGAAUGGCUCAUUAAAUCAGUUAUGGUUCACUAGAUCGUACAGUUUACAUGGAUAACUGUGGUAAUUCUAGAGCUAAUACAUGCAACCAGUCCGUUCCCUCGUGGAGCGGACGCAGUUACUUGCCCAAGACCAAUCCGGCCCUCGGGUCGGUCAAUUGGUGACUCUGAAUAACCGAAGCGGAGCGCAUGAUCUCGUAUCGGCGCCAGAUCUUUCAAGUGUCUGACUUAUCAGCUUGUUGUUAGGUUAUGUUCCUAACAAGGCUUUUACGGGUAACGGAGUGUCAGGGCCCGACACCGGAGAGGGAGCCUGAGAAACGGCUACCACAUCCAAGGAAGGCAGCAGGCGCGCAAAUUACCCACUCCCGGCACGGGGAGGUAGUGACGAAAAAUAACG